AGAGCGAACGCUGGCGGCAGGCCUAACACAUGCAAGUCGAGCGCCCCGCAAGGGGAGCGGCAGACGGGAGAGUAACACGUGGGAACGUGCCCUUUGGUUCGGAACAACACAGGGAAACUUGUGCUAAUACCGGAUAAGCCCUUACGGGGAAAGAUUUAUCGCCAAAGGAUCGGCCCGCGUCUGAUUAGCUAGUUGGUGAGGUAACGGCUCACCAAGGCUACGAUCAGUAGCUGGUCUGAGAGGAUGAUCAGCCUCACUGGGACUGAGACACGGCCCAGACUCCUACGGGAGGCAGCAGUGGGGAAUAUUGGACAAUGGGCGCAAGCCUGAUCCAGCCAUGCCGCGUGGGUGAUGAAGGCCCUAGGGUUGUAAAGCCCUUUCGGCGGGGAAGAUAAUGACGGUACCGCAGAAGAGCCCCGGCUAACUUCGUGCCAGCAGCCGC
rnacentral:rRNA from 1 species